GAUGAACGCUGACGGCGUGCUUAACACAUGCAAGUCGAAGGGAGUGGCGAACGGGUGAGUAACACGUGAGUAACCUGCCCCUUUCUUUGGGAUAAGCCUGGGAAACGGGGUCUAAUACCGGACGGCUUGGGAUGGGCUCGCGGCUUAUCGGCUUGUUGGUGGGGUGAUGGCUUACCAAGGCUUUGACGGGUAGCCGGCCUGAGAGGGUGGUCUGUGACUGUGGAACUGGGAUACGGCCCAGGGUCCGACGGGAGGCAGCAGUGGGGGAUAUUGCACAAAGGACGAAAGUCUGAUGCAGCGACGUCGUGUGAGGGCUGAGGGCCUUCGGGUUGUAGACUCCUUUCGCCCGCGGAAUGGUAGUGGGUAAAGAAGCGCCGGCUAACUACGUGCCAGCAGCCGCGGUAAUAC
rnacentral:rRNA from 1 species